GCUGCUGUAGCUCAGUGGUAGAGCACUUCCUUGGUAAGGAAGAGGUCGUGGGUUCAAGCCCCACCAGCAGCU
rnacentral:tRNA from 2 species